CCUACGGGAGGCUGCAGUGAGGAAUAUUGGUCAAUGGACGAGAGUCUGAACCAGCCAAGUAGCGUGAAGGAUGACUGCCCUAUGGGUUGUAAACUUCUUUUAUAUGGGAAUAAAACGUUCCACGUGUGGGAUUUUGUAUGUACCAUAUGAAUAAGUAUCGGCUAACUCCGUGCCAGCAGCCGCGGUAAUACGGAGGAUCCGAGCGUUAUCCGGAUUUAUUGGGUUUAAAGGGAGCGUAGGUGGAUUGUUAAGUCAGUUGUGAAAGUUUGCGGCUCAACCGUAAAAUUGCAGUUGAAACUGGCAGUCUUGAGUACAGUAGAGGUGGGCGGAAUUCGUGGUGUAGCGGUGAAAUGCUUAGAUAUCACGAAGAACUCCGAUUGCGAAGGCAGUUCACUGGACUGCAACUGACACUGAGGCUCGAAAGUGUGGGUAUCAAACAGGAUUAGAUACCCUUGUAGUC
rnacentral:rRNA from 1 species